GGAAAAAUAUGGGUUGUUUGUGGGUUCGCCGGGUUGGAGGUGGACGACGUGCAUUGUUUUGAUCCGGCGAACGGGAAGUGGGAGCAAGUAGAGACAUGUGGCGAGAAACCAACGGUUAGAAGUGUAUUUUCAACGGUUGGGAUUGGGAAAUACAUAAUCAUAUACGAUGGAGAAGUGGACCCCAGCAACUUGGGCUACCUGGGUGCCGGGAAGUUCACCGGCGAGGUUUGGGCGCUGGACACAGAGGCUUUAAGGUGGCAGACGGUGGAUGAUGGGGUGGGGUCAGAGAACCAUCCUGGGGCGAGAGGUUGGUGUGCCUUUGGUUCGGGUAGAUUGAAUGGGAAAGAGGGGCUUUUGUUGUAUGGAGGGAACUCUCCGAGCAAUGAGCGGCUGGAUGAUAUUUUCUUCCCUAGUCCUUGCCUGGACUCAAAUGAAAAAGACUAGAGGAAUAAGUGAUAGUUUGGCAAUUACGUGUGGUUUAUUAAAAAUAUAUGAUCUUAGUAUAUGGUGAAAGUUAGGGGUGGUAAUACAUCAGGUUUUUGUGGGUAAUCGAUCCGAGCGAACUUGAUGAGUUUUGGUAUUAUAUAAUCAGGUUUAGAACGGGUUCGAGUUUAAAAAAUAAUACCCAUAAUGGGUUUGAGUUUUAUAUAUUGAAUAUUCG
rnacentral:misc_RNA from 1 species